rnacentral:rRNA from 1 species
UACGGGGGGGGCAAGCGUUGUUCGGAAUUACUGGGCGUAAAGGGCUCGUAGGCGGCCAACUAAGUCAGACGUGAAAUCCCCAGGCUUAACCUGGGAACUGCGUUUGAAACUGGGGAGCUAGAGUGUGGAAGAGGGGGGUGGAAUUCCAGGUGUAGCAGUGAAAUGCGUAGAGAUCUGGAGGAACACCGAUGGCGAAGGCAGCCCCCUGGGCUAACACUGACGCUCAUGCACGAAAGCGUGGGGAGCAAACAGG